CCGCGGUAAUACGAAGGGACCUAGCGUAGUUCGGAAUUACUGGCUUAAAGAGUUCGCAGGUGGUUGAAAAAGUUAGUGGUGAAAUCCCAGAGCUUAACUCUGGAACUGCCAUUAAAACUUUUCAGCUAGAGUAUGAUAGAGGAAAGCAGAAUUUCUAGUGUAGAGGURAAAWUCGWAGAUAUUAGAAAGAAUACCAAUUGCGAAGGCAGCUUUCUGGAUCAUUACUGACACUGAGGAACGAAAGCAUGGGUAGCGAAGAGGAUUAGAUACCCUCGUAGUCCAUGCCGUAAACGAUGUGUGUCAGACGUUGGAAAUUUAUUUUCAGUGUCGCAGGGAAACCGAUAAACACACCGCCUGGGGAGUACGACCGCAAGGUUAAAACUCAAAUGAAUUGACGGGGACCCGCACAAGUAGUGGAGCAUGUGGUUUAAUUCGAAGAUACGCGCAGAACCUUACCAACACUUGACAUGUUCGUCGCAACUUUAAGAGAUUAAAGUUUUCGGUUCGGCCGGACGAAACACAGGUGCUGCAUGGCUGUCGUCAGCUCGUGUCGUGAGAUGUUGGGUUAAGUCCCGCAACGAGCGCAACCCUCACUUUUAGUUGCCAUCAUUAAGUUGGGCACUCUGAAAGAACUGCCAGUGAUAAGCUGGAGGAAGGUGGGGAUGACGUCAAGUCCUCAUGGCCCUUACGUGCUGGGCUACACACGUGCUACAAUGGUAUCUACAACAGGAAGCAAAACCGCGAGGUUAAGCAAAUCCCUAAAAGAUACCUCAGUUCGGAUUGCACUCUGCAACUCGAGUGCAUGAAGCUGGAAUUACUAGUAAUCGUGGAUCAGCGUGCCACGGUGAAUGCGUUCCCGGGUCUUGUACACACCGCCCGUCACACCAUGGGAGUUGGUUCUACCUUAAGGCAAGGUDUCAAACCCUUGACCACGGUAUAGUCAGCGACUGGGGUGUAGUCGUAACAAGGUAGCCGU
rnacentral:rRNA from 1 species